AUUGAACGCUGGCGGCAGGCCUAACACAUGCAAGUCGAGCGGAGCGGAGGACGGGGGAGUAAUGACUAGGAAGGUGCCUGGUAGUGGGGGAUAGCGUCCGGAAACGGGCGCUAAUUCCGCAUACUUUCAGAUGAGACUACGUCGGAGUAGCUAGUUGGGGGGGUAAAGGCCUACCAAGGCGACGAUCCGUAACUGGUCGGAGAGGAUGAUCAGUCACACUGGAACUGAGACACGGUCCAUACUCCUACGGGAGGCAGCAGUGGGGAAUAUUGGACAAUGGGCGAAAGCCUGAUCCAGCCAUGCCGCGUGUGUGAAGAAGGUCUUCGGAUUGUAAAGCACUUUAAGUUGGGAGGCGUUACCAACAGAAGAAGCACCGGCUAACUUCGUGCCAGCAGCCGCGGUAAUUC
rnacentral:rRNA from 1 species